CCUGCAUUGCAGGUGGAUUCUUUACCCACUGAACCACCUGAGAGCCCAGGUUUUAAAAGCAGAAGAAAAGUGUAAAGAAGAGGGAAAUGGCUCUGAUGCAGCAUUUACAUAAGAAACACAUUCAGAAAAAAAGAGGCUAUGAUUCUGAAAGCGUCCUUAUUAUACUGCACUAAAAAUCUCCCCUGGGAUCGGUGGAGGUUUAAAUUAGCUGGGAAGAGGAGGAAAUAAAAUCUGUCUUUUCAAAUUGCAAAUCUCUCCCAAACUGAACAUUUUGCCUGAGGAAAUGGCCACACUGUGUUCAGGAGCAGACAAAGCCCUCUUUGAGUGAGGGCUCCACCUUCUCCAGCCUUCAUUACAAUUCCCUGCCUCCUCCUACAUCCGCUGGACAAGUCCUGACACUGCGCUCCUGGGCUACGUCUUAGUCAUUGAGAGAGAUCUCAAGGAGGCCCUUGUUUUUAGUGGGUGUGCAGUUUGCUCUAAAAAUGUGUCCACCGCCCAUGUAAUUGACUUGAGAAAUCAAAGUCAGUGGAAAGAGCAGAAAAUGUCAUCCACAUCUAUAGGUUUCUUUUAUGAAUGGGUGUAUUCAUUUAUGUUUUCUCCAACAGCUAUCAAAUAUUUGCAUGUUAAACUGCAAAGAAUUUCACAGAAUGCCAUCAACACAGUGUUCUGGUUGUCUGUGGCUGCAUAAUGAACUUCCCUGAAUGUGGUGACUGAAACAGCAACCAUUUUAUUAUGUAUUGUGAUUUUAUGUCUCAGGAAGGAGGGCAGGGCUCAGCUGCAUGACUCUCCUGCUCGAGGUGGUGUCAACUGGGAUCACUGGCUGGCCUUUAGCUAAUGGUGGGGCUGAUCUGGAGGGCCCCAAACAGUUUUACUCACAUGUCUGGCACCUUGGCAGGGAUGACUGGAAGACUGGACUUCAUAGACCCUCUCUCUGCCUGUAGACUCAAAGCCUCUCUGCAUCAUCUCUCCAACACUAGCAGCAAAGACAAACCCCAACCCCAGCUGCUCUGACUCCAGAUUCGAGAAGAUAUUUAUUGAAUGCCUACUAGGUUUGCAGUGUGGCAUUUACACUGAAGGAAGAGAUAACAUAGUUGAAUCAUAUGCGGUUCUUGGUCUCUCAAAGACUUUACAACUCAGUGGAGAGGAAGAGUCAACGCAUGAAGUUGGUGGACCGGCAGUAUUGGCAUCACCUGGGAGCUUGCUGGAUGUGCCAACUCUCAAGCCACACUCUAGACCCGGGGAAUCAGAAUCUGUAUGUUAGCAAGAUUGACCUGGUUUGAAGGCACAGCACAAUCUGACAAGCUCUGCUUUUGAGCAGGUCUCUACAGCGAUGAUUCUCAGCCCAGUUCCUAUGGGACACAUCUGGAUCUGCAGGCCAGGGCAAACGCCCUGUGAGGCAAACACCACAAGCUGAGUACCUUCUUUCAACUCCACCUGCUCAAGGCCCCAGACCAUCUUCU